GAUGAACGCUGGCGGCGUGCUUAACACAUGCAAGUCGAACGGGAAAUAUUUCAUUGAGACUUCGGUGGAUUUGAUUUAUUUCUAGUGGCGGACGGGUGAGUAACGCGUGGGUAACCUGCCUUAUACAGGGGGAUAACAGUCAGAAAUGGCUGCUAAUACCGCAUAAGCGCACAGAGCUGCAUGGCUCAGUGUGAAAAACUCCGGUGGUAUAAGAUGGACCCGCGUUGGAUUAGCUAGUUGGGGGGGUAACGGCCCACCAAGGCGACGAUCCAUAGCCGGCCUGAGAGGGUGAACGGCCACAUUGGGACUGAGACACGGCCCAGACUCCUACGGGAGGCAGCAGUGGGGAAUAUUGCACAAUGGGGGAAACCCUGAUGCAGCGACGCCGCGUGAAGGAAGAAGUAUCUCGGUAUGUAAACUUCUAUCAGCAGGGAAGAUAGUGACGGUACCUGACGAAGAAGCCCCGGCUAACUACGUG
rnacentral:rRNA from 1 species